rnacentral:rRNA from 1 species
AUUGAACGCUGGCGGCAGGCCUAACACAUGCAAGUCGAGCGGAUGAAGGGAGCUUGCUCCUGGAUUCAGCGGCGGACGGGUGAGUAAUGCCUAGGAAUCUGCCUGGUAGUGGGGGAUAACGUCCGGAAACGGGCGCUAAUACCGCAUACGUCCUGAGGGAGAAAGUGGGGGAUCUUCGGACCUCACGCUAUCAGAUGAGCCUAGGUCGGAUUAGCUAGUUGGUGGGGUAAAGGCCUACCAAGGCGACGAUCCGUAACUGGUCUGAGAGGAUGAUCAGUCACACUGGAACUGAGACACGGUCCAGACUCCUACGGGAGGCAGCAGUGGGGAAUAUUGGACCAUGGGCGAAAGCCUGAUCCAGCCAUGCCGCGUGUGUGAAGAAGGUCUUCGGAUUGUAAAGCACUUUAAGUUGGGAGGAAGGGCAGUAAGUUAAUACCUUGCUGUUUUGACGUUACCAACAGAAUGAGCACCAGCUAACUUCGUG